UACGUAGGGUGCGAGCGUUGUCCGGAAUUACUGGGCGUAAGGAGCUCGUAGGCGGUCUGUCGCGUCGGCUGUGAAAACUCGGGGCUCAACCCCGAGCCUGCAGUCGAUACGGGCAGACUAGAGUCCGGCAGGGGAGACUGGAAUUCCUGGUGUAGCGGUGAAAUGCGCAGAUAUCAGGAGGAACACCGGUGGCGAAGGCGGGUCUCUGGGCCGGAACUGACGCUGAGGAGCGAAAGCGUGGGGAGCGAACAGG
rnacentral:rRNA from 1 species